rnacentral:tRNA from 1 species
GUCCCCGUAGCUCAGCUGGAUAGAGCGCUUGGCUAAUCCUUAGAGGUCGCAGGUUCAAAUCCUGUCGGGGGCC